UACGUAGGGGGCAAGCGUUGUCCGGAUUUAUUGGGCGUAAAGAGCGUGUAGGCGGCCAGACAGGUCCGCUGUGAAAACUCGAGGCUCAACCUCGAGAUGUCGGUGGAAACCGUCUGGCUAGAGUCCGGAAGAGGAGAGUGGAAUUCCCGGUGUAGCGGUGAAAUGCGCAGAUAUCAGGAAGAACAGCCCGUGGCUAAGGCGGCUCUCUAGUACGGUACUGACGCUGAGACGCGAAAGCGUGGGGAGCGAACAGGG
rnacentral:rRNA from 1 species